CUGCGAUUUCUGCUACUUCUGCGACUUCUGCUACUACUGCGAUUUCUGCUACUUCUGCGAUUUCUGCUACUUCUGCGACCUAUCUCCGAAUGAAAAAGUUAUAGUGUUCACACAGAGAAUUGCAUCUCAACAAAACUGACAUUAGUACCCGAACUACAUUUCAGUCACUCAGUAACGCGAUAAUUCGAAAUAUUAUCGUCAACAGCCACUGCGUCUUUAGACUGUCUUCGUCAGACGAGAGACGCAGUUCCAACCCCGAUUACUGGUUUCUGUACGUAUCUAUCCACUUCAAGGCUCUUGGGAGAGAAUCGUGAAUAUUCAAGACAGCUCUUAGAUGAUUUGCAGUUUAAAAGUGCCAUAAUUAUGAAAUAAGUGUGCAUAAUGAGUGAUUGAACUGUGUUUAAUUUGAAGUUCUUAUGCGAUUUUAAAGGAAUGAUAAAUGUUAAAUACAGUGAGUGAAUAAAUAAAAUAUUUUCCACGUGUUAAGCAGUCCUAUACACAAAUAUUUUCCACCAUUUAAUUACUGGUAAAGACUUGGAGAGUGUGACAUACCGCUGCCCCCCAUCCCCCUUUCCCCAGAAGCUUGGUGUAACACAGAACUGGAAUAUAGCCCAAGGUCUAGAGUAUGCAUUUUGAGCCCAUUAUGAAAAUGGGAAGUACAGAUCUUAAAUCAGGAAUCAUUUAAGUGCAGUACUUGAAGGUAAACCAGGAAAAGUUUACUUAUGAAGGUGCUUGUAGUGUCAGCAAAAAGUUCUUGUGUGCAGUUGCCAUGUAGAACGCCAGGUGUAAAAUUUUCCUCCAUAGUUUUUUGAACACUGUCGGAACAAAAGCGAGGCACUCAUAUGAUUCAAUACUAUUGUCUUUGUUUCAUUACACUUAUACAGAUGUCAGAGUUCUGCUGUGUUAACAUUGCAAAUUCCUGUAGGCAGGUGGAGUAUUUACCAUAAUUGUCAUAUUGGAAGCAGAAUCAAAUACAUUUUUUAGGUUACUUGUCUCUAAAUGAUAUUUUCAGGAGAAAUGGGCAAUGCUGCUGCUUAUUGAAUUAAUACAUUCAGUUACAGCUGUUUGGCCAACCAUUAC